rnacentral:rRNA from 1 species
UGGGGAAUAUUGCGCAAUGGGGGCAACCCUGACGCAGCCACGCCGCGUGUAGGAUGACACUUUUCGGAUCGUAAACUCCUUUUCUUAGGGAAGAAUGCUGAAGGGACAUUAUGAAUAAUCACCGGCGAACUCCGUGCCAGAAGCCGCGGUAAUACGGAGGGUGCAAGCGUUACUCGGAAUUACUGGGCGUAAAGCGCGCGUAGGCGGAUUAUCAAGUCUCUUGUGAAAUCCACUGGCUUAACCAUGAAACUGCAUGUGAAACUGGUAGGCUAGAGUGUGGGAGAGGGAGAUGGAAUUGGUGGUGUAGGGGUAAAAUCCGUAGAUAUCAGGAAGAAUACCGAUUGCGAAGGCGAUCUGCUGGAAGUAAACUGACGCUCAGGUGCGAAAGCGUGGGGAGCAAACA